AAGGUGGAUAUGUUAAUAGCAUACUCAUUUUGACGUUUAGCUGCAGAAGAAGCACCGGCUAACUCCGUGCCAGCAGCCGCGGUAAUACGGAGGGUGCGAGCGUUUAAUCGGAAUUACUGGGCGUAAAGCGCAUGCAGGUGGUUUGUUAAGUCAGAUGUGAAAGCCCGGGGCUCAACCUCGGAAUUGCAUUUGAAACUGGCAAACUAGAGUACUGUAGAGGGGGUAGAAUUUCAGGUGUAGCGGUGAAAUGCGUAGAGAUCUGAAGGAAUACCGGUGGCGAAGGCGGCCCCCUGGACAGAUACUGACACUCAGAUGCGAAAGCGUGGGGAGCAAACAGGAUUAGAUACCCUGGUAG
rnacentral:rRNA from 1 species